UUUAAUCUUCUUUUAGAGCCAUUAUCUCACAAUUAAGUCUGAACUUUGGGGUAAAACAACAACAAAAACACCCUCCAGGAACCUGGAACCUGCGUGGUUCAGGGUAGGGCACUCUUCUGUUUCUGUCUGAGAGUCACUCUCUAGAACGUCAAGCUCAACUAUUGAACUAGAAUGACCAGUCUUCAGGCAGCCCAUUCCUCUUGGAUCUUUCUGUCUCUGUCUCUCAUCUACAGUGGCACUGCUCACAGCCCCGGAGCCCAAUACACAGCAACUGGAGGAACAUGUGAUUUGUCCCAGGAGAUGAAAAGUCCUUAUUAUUUUUAGCAUAUGCUAAGUAAGUCUAGCUGAUUUCUUAUUUCUACAAGGAAGCUCGGUGAAUCUGAUCCAUCUUUGAUCAAGAUUGACAGGAUUUCCAACAACUGAUCUUUUCUAGCAAACUUCAGUCCCAUUAUGUUAGAGCUGUCCUUUGGUGCUUCCAAGAGAUUAGUUUCUGGUUCUGUGGAUGCUCAAGUCCCUGUACAAAAUGGCACAGAAUAUUAAUGUCUCCCAUAUAUGUCCUCCUAUAUAAUUUAAAUAAUCUCUAAAUUACAUACCAAAUGUGACACAAAAUAAAAUAUUGAAUGCUAUACAAAUGGUUGACAUACUGUAUUGUCUAGACGACCAUGAGAAGAAAUAGUCUAUGCAUGUUCAGUAUAGUUGCAUUUUAAAAAGUCUGAUCUAUGGCAGAUAGACUCUGAAGAUGCACACUCCAAAGAUAUGCAUGAAUAAACUUUUUGACUUUACUUUGGGGACAUCCUCUAAGCCUAUCCCUUUACGCCUGUUUUAGAAGGACCCAAAAUUCACAGCUUUUUAUGCUCACAUAAGGACUAAAUGGUAACAAUCUAAAAUGAACACACUUAGAUUUUGAAAUUAGUUUCUUUUUUAAAUGUGUUUUUAAUUGCUAAAGAAUUUAGUGGGGGGAACAAACAAAAUGGUUGGUUAGAAAGGUUCUCUCUUCAAACCAGUGAGCCAGGGAAAAAUACCAACAGCAGUUGAACAAAAUGCAGCACUCAAUUGGAUCAAUUUGCCUUUGUUUCUCAUUUGUCUUUCUUAAGCAUACAAUCAGUAUGCCAAAUAUUGCUCCUAUUUGGGCCAGCUGUUAAAUAGAGAUUGGCACUAUUUUUUUAAACAAUUGUUCAAUAUAACAAAGCUAGGUGUUUCUUUGUGUUUUGACAAUGUGGAAAUUGUCUUAAAAAAACUAGAUGUUUGGAAUUCCAUGCAACUUUCUCUAUCUAUGGAUUUCUUUCAUGAUCUUGGAUGCUAUUUGAAUUAUGCUUUAAUUCUCUACAUUUCUUUUUCUCCUGUCUUUUAAUACUGUCCUUCCCACUUAGAAGGAACAUGAUCUUCUCUGUCUAAAAGUCUGUUUUCAAGUCGAUUAAAUGAGAUUCCCUUGUCAUAAUUCUCCAAGCUUUGUUGGGAACAAAAACAAACAAAGAAUAAAAGAAAAAUAACUACAGCAAGCAUUACUCCCAGCAGAGUGAGGGCCAAUACAAGACACAAAUUGAAAGUGAGACAGAGGGUGGCCAGGGCAUACAUACCAAGAGGUGACAAAAUGUCACCAUUUCACCCCCUAAAGCCCCUUUUCUGGAAACUGAUACUGUGGUAUAAACACCACCUGAAGUUUUAAUGUUAUAUGCUAAGCAUUGCUUUCUUGCUUACCAGAGUGGCUUGGCAAGUUCAGCUUUGUUUCUCAUGGUCAGUCUGGGUGGUCCUGCAUCAGGUCUAAAGCCAAGUGUGCUCCUUGGUUCCUCAGACUGGGGCCAGACCCAAGGGACAGUGGCUACCAGGGGCACAUUUUUUCGAUAGAGGGGUCAGCAACUCCUGGAGCUCUUAUAUAGAACUGGCAUGUUGCCACUUUCUCUGAGGGCCUUCCUACCUUAAUAGACUAUGCUGAGCUACUCAGCCAAAUCCAAGACCAGAGAGUAUGAAGGAGAG